rnacentral:rRNA from 1 species
CAAUAGCGUAUAUUAAAGUUGUUGCAGUUAAAAGCUCGUAGUUGGAUUUGUGGUGUGUCCAGUUGGCCUUUGCUCUUUGAGUGAUAGUGCUUUACUGGUCUGCCAUGUUUGGGUGGAAUCUGUGUGGCAUUAAGUUGUCGUGCAGGGGAUGCCCAUCGUUUACUGUGAAAAAUUAGAGUGUUCAAAGCAGGCUUAUGCCUCUGAAUAUAUUAGCAUGGAAUAAUGAUAUAGGACCUUGGUACUAUUUUGUUGGUUUGCGUUACAAAGUAAUGAUUAAAAGGGGCAGUCAGGGGCACUCGUAUUCCGUCGAGAGAGGUGAAAUUCUCAGACCAAUGGAAGACGAACCACUGCGAAAGCAUUUGCCAGGGAUGUUUUCACUGAUCAAGAACGAAAGUUAGGGGAUCGAAGACGAUCAGAU